UUUAAGCUUCCUACGGGAGGCUGCAGUGGGGAAUCUUGCGCAAUGGGCGAAAGCCUGACGCAGCCAUGCCGCGUGAAUGAUGAAGGUCUUAGGAUUGUAAAAUUCUUUCACCGGGGACGAUAAUGACGGUACCCGGAGAAGAAGCCCCGGCUAACUUCGUGCCAGCAGCCGCGGUAAUACGAAGGGGGCUAGCGUUGCUCGGAAUUACUGGGCGUAAAGGGAGCGUAGGCGGACAUUUAAGUCAGGGGUGAAAUCCCGGGGCUCAACCUCGGAAUUGCCUUUGAUACUGGGUGUCUUGAGUAUGAGAGAGGUGUGUGGAACUCCGAGUGUAGAGGUGAAAUUCGUAGAUAUUCGGAAGAACACCAGUGGCGAAGGCGACACACUGGCUCAUUACUGACGCUGAGGCUCGAAAGCGUGGGGAGCAAACAGGAUUAGAUACCCUUGUAGUCGAAUUCUUAU
rnacentral:rRNA from 1 species